CAUGCACGCUGUUAAAACCCGCCGCCGAGGUCGGCGCGCGGGUGUCGGAAGUGUGCUAGAGCGACCCGGCCGGGUUUUCGCUAACACCAUGAGGGCCUCCGCCCCAUGACUGGGGUUUGAUAGUGACCUGAGCCACACUG